UGGGGAAUCUUGCACAAUGGGGGCAACCCUGAUGCAGCAACGCCGCGUGAGUGAAGAAGGAUCUUGGUUUGUAAAGCUCUUUCGGCCGGGAAGAAGGGAUAUGUGGUUAAUACCCACGUAUUUUGACGGUACUGGAGUAAGAAGCACCGGCUAAUUCCGUGCCAGCAGCCGCGGUAAUACGGGAGGUGCGAGCGUUGUUCGGAAUGACUGGGCGUAAAGAGCGCGUAGGCGGGUGAUUAUGUCGGAUGUGAAAUCCUUGGGCUUAACCCGAGAAUGGCAUCCGAAACGGGUCAUCUUGAAUACCUGAGGGGUUAGUGGAAUUCCAGGUGUAGGAGUGAAAUCUGUAGAUAUCUGGAGGAACAUCAGAGGCGAAGGCGACUAACUGGCAGUGUAUUGACGC
rnacentral:rRNA from 1 species